rnacentral:lncRNA from 1 species
UCUCGCCUGCCGCCAUGUAAACGUUCUUUGCUCCUGCUUCGUCUUCUGCCGUGAUUGUGAGGCCUCCCCAGCCAUGUGGAACUACUCAUCACUCACUGCAGAUGUUACUUUAAGACAUUCUGGAGCAGCGUCAUGUGCAGGAACAAUAAGGAAGUGAGUGCUUUUGUAAUUCCUGAACAACUGUGUCUUACACUUACUAAGUUCUCUUGCCUGCCACCAUGUAAGAUAUGCUUUUACUCUUCCGCCUUCCACCGUGACUGUGAGGCCUCCCCAGCCAUGUGAAACUGCCUUUGAGCUUAUACUGAAUUAUACCACCAGCUUUCCUAGGUCUUGAAGCUUACAGACAGCAGAUCUUGGGACUUCUCAGGCACCAUAAUCAAUCAUAGAUAAAUGAUCCAAUGAUUCGGAACUUGAAAAGUGGUAGCUUUAUGAAUUCUCCUUAAGAAGAAACCUGUGCCCUGAUCUUGCCUACUCACCCAAAGGCACUGUGAGAUAGCAUCAAAGGAACAGCUAGUAAGAGACACAGAGCCAGAAAUCAGGGAAGUAAAAUACACUUGACAUCUACGUUCGGAAAGAAAUUUUAGGAGGCAGAAGCAAAUGGAUCAGAAGCUGCUUAUAUUUUUGCAAGAUUACCAAAGAAACCAUUGGUGGAGAAAGUUCUGUGACCAACUUGUCUGAGUCUAGUAAGAUUGAACGCUCACACACAAGUUUCAUGAAGUGGGUUUGAUACUUACAGAUAAGCAGCAAGGACCAACAGAAGCUGAUGAUCUAUGGUGAACUUUUUCCCAAGGCUCCGGAAAGCUGCCUAAAGUAGAUGGAGUCUUCUCUGUGUGUGCCCCACUGGUCCUGCAGUUGAAGGAUCCGGUAAAGCAGCCUGCCCUUGGUUUUAUACUCCAGAGGAACGUGAUUCGCUGGACUAAAGCAUUGAAGUGCAUCCUGUUUCCGGGGGGCACUGGAACAGAGCCUGGUCUGUUCUAGCCAGUCCCUUUCUAUCUCAGGAUAACAUUCUACAGUUAUUCUUGAGAACUAUAAUCAAAUAAGCAGGGAGAACUGGGAAAGCAGAGGCUCAUUGUGGAACCCUCAAGGAGCAUGGGGUCGUCUUCAUCCCUCAGUUUAUAAAUGGCCAAGGAGAGUAAUGCAACAAAAACUUCUCAGAGUUAAAAGCCAGAGUUCCUAAAGAACCGUGGACAAAGGGUUCUGUCUAGUGGGCAGAAUUCAUCCAGCGAAGGUCUCCUAACUACAGAGGGUCACAUCUGGAUCUGAUGGCACCUACAGAACUUGGACUCUGAGCGACAAUCAGUGACCAGGAAAUUUGGAACCCAGGUUUUCCCAACCUACAUCUACAAAAUGGAAUGGGUCUGAUUCGCAAGUUUUCAGAGAAAGAAGCCAACCUUAAUCAGACUGUGAUAUGAUGAGGAAAUAAAACUUGCUGUGCUAAUCAACUGA